UUCACUUUACCUUUUCGAGCCAGCUCAUCUCAAAACCCCCUCGACUCCUCUCCAAAACCCCUUCCUCCAUCAUUCUUCUCUAAUCCUUUGGGAAAUCCGAGCAUCAUGGCACCUCGAGCUUGAUUCAUCAUCGAGAAGAAAUUAGGAACUGUUGAGGCAUGUGAAGCAUGGUCCAAAUGCUAGUGACAGCUAGAUGAUCUUCAUCCUGCUCUUUCUGCAUCAAUUUCUCCUCCAAACCAUGUCUCCAUGGCUUCUUGGGCAGUCACCACAGG
rnacentral:lncRNA from 1 species